GCUGGAUGUAGUGGUCUGCUUGUAGUUCCAGCUACUUGGGAGGCUGAGGGAGGAGGAUCACUUGAGUCCAGGAAUUCUGGGUUGUAGUGUGCUAUGCCUAUCAGUUGUCUGCACUGUUUGUCAUCAAUUUCAUGGACUCCUGGGAGUAGGAGACCACCAGUUUCCCUAAGGAGAGGUGAAUCAGCCCAAGUUGGAAACGGAGCAGGUCAAAACUGCCAUACCAGUCAGUAGUGGGAUCUUACCUGUAAAUAGCUACUGCACUCCAGCCUGGGCAAUGUAGUGAGAUCCUGUCU
rnacentral:SRP_RNA from 10 species